AGAGAGAGACAUGCGCGCAUAUCAAUAAGCGGAGGAAAAGAAACUAACUAAGGAUUCCCUCAGUAACGGCGAGUGAAGCGGGAAGAGCUCAAAUUUGAAAUCUUAAAGGUUUCCCUUGACGAAUUGUAGUUUAAAGAAGUGUUUUCUGUUGGAGUUUUGGUAAAAGUUCUUUGGAAUAGGACAUCAUAGAGGGUGAGAAUCCCGUAUUUGACCAUUUACUUUCAGCUUUGUGAUACACUUUCAAAGAGUCGGAUUGUUUGGGAAUGCAGUCCAAAAUGGGUGGUAAAUUUCAUCUAAAGCUAAAUAUUGGCGAGAGACCGAUAGCGAACAAGUACCGUGAGGGAAAGAUGAAAAGAACUUUGAAAAGAGAGUUAAACAGUACGUGAAAUUGUCAAAAGGGAAGCGUUUGACACCAGUGUUGUUUUUCUGAAAAUCAAUUAAAGAACUGUUUAUGCUAAGCUGUUUAGACUUUAUCAGCUAUCUGUUUAGUUUUGAGCUUUUCUUUAAUGCACUUUUCAGUUAACAAGUCAACAUCAAUUUCUUUUGCUGUAAAAAAGCUUGAGGAAGGUGGCUUGAGAUUCGUCUUAAGUGUUUAUAGCCUCUUGCCUAUGCAGUCGGAGAGAUUGAGGUCUGCAGCGUAGAUCCUUCGGGGCUAAAUGCAUUUGUGCUAAGUUAUAGCAUUUUAUAGACAACUUGUUGACUAUGAUUUGUCUUGUAGCUUACUCGCUUAUGUUAUUUUACCUACGCUUAGGAUGUUGAUGUGAUACUGCGAGCA
rnacentral:rRNA from 1 species